rnacentral:rRNA from 1 species
UACGUAGGGCGCAAGCGUUGUCCGGAAUUAUUGGGCGUAAAGCGCACGUAGGCGGUCUGUUAUGUCGGAUGUGAAAGCCCUUGGCUCAACUGAGGAAGUGCAUCCGAAACUGGCAGGCUGGAGUACGUAAGAGGGUCGCGGAAUUCCCGGUGUAGAGGUGAAAUUCGUAGAUAUCGGGAGGAACACCGGUGGCGAAGGCGGCGACCUGGGACGAUACUGACGCUGAGGUGCGAAAGCGUGGGGAGCAAACAGG